UGGGGAAUAUUGGACAAUGGGCGCAAGCCUGAUCCAGCAAUGCCGCGUGGGUGAAGAAGGUCUUCGGAUUGUAAAGCCCUUUCGGCGGGGACGAUGAUGACGGUACCCGCAGAAGAAGCCCCGGCUAACUUCGUGCCAGCAGCCGCGGUAAUACGAAGGGGGCGAGCGUUGCUCGGAAUGACUGGGCGUAAAGGGCGCGUAGGCGGCUUGAGUGGUCAGGCGUGAAAUUCCUGGGCUUAACCUGGGGGCUGCGCUUGAGACGCUUGGGCUUGAGUGGGGAAGAGGGUCGUGGAAUUCCCAGUGUAGAGGUGAAAUUCGUAGAUAUUGGGAAGAACACCGGUGGCGAAGGCGGCGACCUGGUCCUUGACUGACGCUGAGGCGCGAAAGCGUGGGGAGCAAACAGGAUAGA
rnacentral:rRNA from 1 species